GGUUGAUACAGGAAUUUAUUUCUUUAACAAUAAAGAUUUAGUUUGAUAUUGAGCUCAAUCUAAUGCUAUUAGAUAGAAUGGAGUUGAGAAAAAACAUAUAAGGAUAUACUUCUGUAUUCUCCGAUGGGACCGCAGAAAAUAUAUCGUAACUGACCAACCGCAAUAUGCGAACACAAUAUUACGUACGAAAACAAAUAAGAAUAUUUUUCGUUUCUCACUGCACAUAGCGCAAUCUUCCCGCAAUCCCAAACAAAGCCAACGUAGUGUUUCG
rnacentral:lncRNA from 1 species